rnacentral:lncRNA from 1 species
AGAUGAAUCAGUAAAGAUCUAAAAAUAAAAUAAUUAAGUUAGAACAAUUUUGUAAUGAACAAAUUAUUUUAUCACACUCAGGUAUAGAAUAAUAAAGGAUAAGGCACAACCAUGAAGGUCAUUCUACAUAUUACUAUAUCCUGAACAAAACUACAUUUUCUCAUAAAGUUUGCCUAAUGAAAAAAUUCAUAUUAUGAGAAAAGAGUGGACUAUAAGCAUAGUAAGAAAGCUAAAAAACUAGCAACCUCAACUCUGAUGCUCAAAUUGAAAAACAGGGACUCAAAUUAUAAUAUGGGUGUUGAUUAGAUCAACUCAUGAAUUUAUUAAGCAAUAGCAUUUUUAAUUUCCAAUAUUAAAUAGUGAGCUUAUUCAGGCAAAUUGACUGAUAUUCAAACAACUUACCUUGUGUUGUAGUCAAUGAUAGCAUUUGACGGUUUAACCAAUUUAUCUAUCAAAACCUAAAAAGAUAUAUCUUAGAAAUUAAGUCAUCACUAUGCAACUAAAUGUUCCAAAUUUAAAGAACUAACCGAGUCUCAAUAUAUAACUUGGUUAUCUCAAUUUCUUAAAUAUUGUAAAUGAAACAGAAUAAAAGAAGAGAAAAACAGAAUCUCUAACCAAUAGGAUUUAGUCUUUUACAAACAUAUAUAUAGGUAGCUUCAUCAACAAUUAAAAAGCUAGGCUCUUCUCUAAUGGCCAAAAGAACAUAGAAUUGUUAAAAAUGCAAUUACAAGCACCAUAUCAUAAAGAGUUUUGUAGUCCUUUAAAAUAGUGGUCAUCAUGCCAUGUACACUAUAGCAGUCUUGGGGGAAUCACUGCACCCAAGAAUGAGAUUUAUAACUACUUCCAAGAACAACACGCUUCAUGAAGGGAAGGACAUGGUAAUUUGUAUACAUCUCAAUGGAAAUAGAUUUUAUAAUAAGUAGUUCGAAAAAAAAAUAGUGAAUACCUGUUCUUUGAUGUCCACUAGAGUAAUUCUUGUCAGCUCAAAACCUUCAUUUGUUAUGCACUAAGCAAAUGGUAAAAAAUAGAUUGAUCAAAAUUGCAUAUGACAAGGAUAUAUAUAUAUAAGAAAGGACAUAACUAUUUUCAUUUGUCUCAAUAUAGAAUGAAGGUUUUGGCCAUGCAUGCCAAUAAAACGACUGUCAGAAUAAUUUUAAGUUAUGCUGGAAUAACGUGCAGUUUAAGUACCACAUGUUAAAUGAAUUAGUUUUGAGGAAUUCAAAAUAUUUGGAGAAGUUUAUCAUCAUCGUCCAGAACUUCAUUUCUCAGUGAUAAAAAUAGGUUAGCUUUAAAAUUAAAUUGGUAUUGAUUAACAUACCAUCUCACAAUCAAGUGCAAAUAUCUCAUGAAAAGGAGAUCCUGGAGGUGUAGGCAAAGUAGAAAGAAAACCUGUAAUCAAUCGGGCAGAUAAAAAACUCGGCCAAUAAGAACAACUUCAUAAAGAUUCACAUUUAUAAAGUACCAGAGUAAAAUUCACUUGGCUAAUUGAUGGGUGUCGCACCCCAUGCAAAAUUUAAUGUGAAUAAGAGAAUGCAGUAUAGACUAGGAAGUUACUCCUAGGUCGUCUCUCAAGGACCAAAUGUGGUUCGAGAAUCAGGUCUAACACGAAGUGGGGGGGUUUUGUGAAAGGUUUGUGAAUGCGGAUGAAUCAAAUCAAAACACUGACGCAAACAAAUAAUUAAACACAAAUAUAAAAAUGGUUUCAAGGACAGAAUGGAAACGGUUGGUCAUUAACUUAAUUACAAUGCUUCCUAUCACAGAUCAACACAAUAAAGGAGCUACUCUGACCUCUAAUCCAACAUAGUUAACCAACUACGCGAAGGCUAAUUAUGUUUUCAUAAAAGUGAACUAAGUGAACACAAUGUUAACAUUCAAUCCGAUUUGCACCAUACAAUUUCAUCAACUAAGAGAAGACUCAACACCAACUGGGAAACUAAGUGUAUACCCAAUUGCAAGUGCAAAUACAGAUUUGAUAUUAACCAAGUCAGAGUGGCAAUCACAAUUACAAUCAAGGAAUCUCAAGGAAACAAUGCAAUAUCGCUAAUGACCAACCCGACUAACCUAAGCUAACAUCACAACUAAAUUAACACAAUCGGACAAAAUAGACAACAUGGUGAAUGAAAACAGUAAAUUGAAUGGUCCAAAAACAAGAUGGGUGAACUAAUUAAAAUGCAGCAGAUAAUAAGCAACUAAAUUAACACUAUCGGAAUGCAAUGAUUGAGCAGAAAAAAUAAAAUUCAACAUUCUAUCAAAUCAUAUCAAUAGUGCAGAAACACUAUUUAACGUCGAUUAAUUUGGCCUUUUAACGUCACUUUCACAUCCGACGUCUAUACGGGUGACGUCGCAAUUCCUCAUAACCGACAUCCAUAUAAACGUCGGUUAACGAUAUCCACCGACGUCUAUAUAGACGUCUGCUUAUACUCACACCGACGUCUAAUUACUCUAUAUAGAUGUCCACCUUUGCUUAAACUGACGUCAACAUGAAUAUAUAUUGAGGUUGAAAAUGACACUAACCGACGUUUAUGUUCUUAUAGACGUCCGACCAGGCACUAACCGACGUCUAACAACGACGUUGUGUUUUAGUGCAGUUUUGAUCCAGACUUUGGGUAGCAUUGUGUAACACUAUCCUCUUGCUAGUUUCCCCACAAAAAGAGCUUGCGUCUUUUGAAUCUUCUAUGACAUUCAACCCAAAACCGAACAUGGGUCCAUGACUACUUCCCAUUAUUCAACCGCAAAGGAAAAAAAUUACGGUGAUACGAGAACUAGACAAGGACCCAAGUUCCAUUUUGGGUCGGAAGCCUUAGAAAACUCAAAAGAUCGCACUCUUCUUGUGAGGAAGCAAGCAAAGGGAGAAUGUUACACUAUAUUACCCAAAGAAAGGAUCAAAACUACACUAAAACACAACAGAAAGAAAGCAAAUUUUAAUCAGUUGAACGACAAGAUAAUCGAUAAAAAACUAAAGAAAGUUUAAACGGUAAGCAUAAAAAAAACCACGCACUUGGGAUGCAAGAGAGAAAAAGGAGAGGACGAAGACAGUGACGUUAUGAGAAAAAGUAGAGGUGCGCAAGCGAGUAAAAGAAGAGGAGAAGCAGAGAAAAAGGAGAAGAGAUGAAGACGCGAUCAGAAACUGAAUGGCGAGAAUAGUCCGCGGUCUAUUUUAAAUGAAAUGGGGCGUCAGUUGCUCCAGAAACCAACAUCUAUAGACGUCGAUGUUUUAGGGGAUCCGACGUUUACAGACGUCGGUGUUUCAGGUGAUCCGACGUCUAUUCUACGUCAAGAAGCUGAAAAGAUUGACGUUUGAUUUCCUGUCAGGGGUAGUUCAUGUCGGUGCCCCUCCUAGCCGACGUCUAAAACCCUCGAAUUUGGUGAAACUAAUCAAUUACAGGAACUUAGACGUCGCUUACGUUCAGAACCGACGUCUAAAUUGAAGAAUUUUUGUCUUCUCGCCUUCCAGACAGGCCUUAGACGUCGCCGUUUGAUUAUGUGACUUCUAAGCGCCUGAGAAUUAGGUGAACAACAUUAAUUGUAGCCUAGUCUCGUCGAGUUUUCAGGGGAUCCGACGUCUAAAGCUGAACUGGUUGACGUUUGAUUUCCUGUCAGUGACUUGAACGUCGGUGCCCUUUUCUAGCCGAUGUCGAAUUGACUGUUUUAUCACAUACCUCAGGGUCUUGGACGUCGGUUUGCGGCAGGUGCGACGUCUAUGAUGUCACAGACGUCACCUAACAUCGAAACUGACGUCUAAGUUACUAAUAUAUCUACGAUAAUGCCACCGUGCAGUAAUAGACGUUAGUUUUUUACUAAACCGACGUCUAAGGGGUGACGUUAAACAACGUUUUUGCACUAGUAUUCAUCAAGGAACAACUAAAAAGAAAAAAAAAAACUUAAACUGUAAAGGAUUUAACCAAAUUCACUAGUGCAAAAUAGGCUUUUUAAGUCUGUUAUUUCGGGCUUUUUAAGUCUGUUUUACGACAAACUUAGAUUCGGCAGACUUAAAUUUUAAGUCUGUUGUUGACUAACAGACUUAAAUUUUAAGUCUGUUGUUGACCAACAGACUUAGUUCUUUGUAAGUAAAUAGGGCAGCGAAUUUAAGUCUGUCAUGACCAUAACAGACUUAAAUUUGUUUUUUUUUAAUUAUAUUUGUUUAAUCAUGAAACCAAAACCUAAAAUAUAGAAAAGUUUCCAGAACAAAAUAUAUAUUUCCAACUGUUCAAUUCAAGUACAUAAUAAAAAGUUCCAAAAUCAAAAUAAAUAAUAAGAUAUCUAAUUCAAAAUUUGUAGUCUAAACAAAGUCUAACUUAAACUUUUAAGUUUAAACAUAAGCUAAACAUAACUUAGCAACACCUAAUAAAAACCUAAUCUUCACGUUGGAGGAUAUAACUUGCCCAUUGAUGUGUUAUUUCGGCCAUGGCCUCCUUUGAUAUUGGUGAUGGAUCAUCGAACACCUAAAACAAACAAUGUUGUUAUGUAGUGGCCUAUAUAAAACUAUAGAAUUCAUGCAUUAGUUAUAAGUGGCUACCGUGGUCCAGUUAUCAUAAAUUCCAGCUUGAAUGAUAGCUUUGAUCCAAUACAUCACGUAGUACCCACAUUUCCAUCAGCUAAUUUGUUUGUUGCACUGUAAUAAAAUAAAGGAAAAUUCAUAUCAUAUAAUUUAUAGACAAAAUAAUUAAUUUAAGAAUUGAAUGAUAUCUCACCUUAGGAUAUACGAUUUAAAAUUGCUUUUGUCUGUUCCUUUGACAAAAUGUUUGUGUCACCCACAACUCUGGUUAAAUUGAUGACACAUAAGUCAUAAAUGUUAUGUACUUAUUAGAUGAAAUGAAAGUUGUACCAUUACCCUUAUAGUAAGUUCUUUAGUUCGUUGUUCGGCUUCUUAUGAAGAGAACAAAACCAGACAACUAUGCAAUCUUCAGGAAUGAUGACUAUUAGCUACCAAUGGGACCUACAAUGAAGGACAAAUGAUUAUUUCAAUAAUUACAAUAAGUUUGAAAAAGAAAAGCUACGUUUGGUAAGACUAACCCUUCAAUGUGUGGAGCCAAGUAAACACGUCUUUGGGAGGUAGACAUCCAUGUUUGCAUGUAUUGUUGUAUGUUAACCUUUGUGUUCCCGGAUUUUUGAAUGGCUUGGGGCUAAAGAAAUCCAUAUACAUGUGGUCGACUUUGCUCCACACUCAUUGUAUCCAUAUACCUAGUACAAAGAAUUAUAAGUUAAAUGUUGUAGAUUUUUAUAUGGUAAAUAUAUAAGAGGCAUUACUACUUACAUGAACCAUAGUUGGAUGAUAGAAAUGUUUAACAUCCGUUCUCCACCAAUUAACUCAAAUACAUCAUUGAAGUUAAUGUAAAUCGGUACCGUACUUUCAAAUCCAAAUACUCUAAAGUCUGGUCGAACUACUUUUGAUUUUUUCUUCAACCUAGGCAACAUGGCAAUGAGCUUUGACAUAGGAUCAUCUUCCAUUUCUUCCAUGUCAUCAUCAUUUUCAUGAACAACAGGAUCUCGCACCUGCUUUUGACGUCGGGAUAACUGAAAUAAAUAUAUGAAACAAUUUAGUUCAUUAAUUUAUAAAUUACAAAAAAAAAUUAUUAAAGAAUAAAAUUUAUUACCUGUUGUUGCCCAACAUAUGGCAGGAUUAGAUUUCUAGGCCAAGUCACAAAUGUGCCUAAAGCCUCUCCUACAAAUUGAACCUCUGUAGUUGACAAAGGUAGUCGUGCAUUUGGAUCUCAAACUUCAUCAACCACCACACUAUUCUUUGUUCUUUUUUCUUCCUCUCAUAUCCCCACUCUAAUUUAGGUAAAUGUUUAUUAUCACUGCAUUUACUUUUUGGUAGUAACUUAACAGAAAUAUUUUUAACUAAAAAGCAAAUUCGUAGCAUACACCAUAUCAAAAGUGUGGGAAAUGUAUAUUUUUACAGUAAAUACAUUUAANAAUAAAUUUCAAUUAUUAAUAAAAAUUUAUCUAAAUAAAUACUUUUAAAAAUACUCAAAUUUACAUAAUAAAAAAAAAACAAUAAAAUCGUUUGUCAAAAGGACGAACCAUAUAAAAGUGUAAACAAAUAUAUAUUUUAACAAUAAAAGAGUCGGUCAAUCAUUUCACCCAAAUAUUGAAUGGUGGAACAUAUCGAAUUAAUUAUUAUGCACGUUUUGAUUUGGUUGUACAGUGGAUGGCGUGGACAAGUAAGAGCAUAGUAUAAUCUUUCCCCAUGAUCUUUUGAAAAGUACAAGAAAAUCCGAAGAAAAAUCAUACGCACCAAAUUCGCAACCUCCACUCUCUUUAUACAUUCCAUAUAAUUCUAUUUAAUAUUCAAAUCCAUCUAACAUUAAUUCACUUUAACCGAAAGAUAUUUCCAACACGGAUAGCUAUAAAAUAAUUUAUUUUAACAUUAAUUUAAAGCUUUAAUUUACAUCAGUAAAAUAAGAGAAUAAAUUAAUCUUAAUUGACAUAGAUAAAAAAUAUUCUUAUUAAUAUUAAUUAUAAUUAAUGUUAGUUAAGAAAUUAUAAGUUCUUAUUUGAUAUAAGAAAACCUAAAUGACAUGAACUAAAACGUAUAACACUAUAUGUGGACGUUGAUUGAAAAAAUUGUAGGUGACAGAUACCAUUUAAUAAAUAUUGUUAAUAUUGAUGCAAAAGAAAAUCUAAAUUGAUUGAUAUGAUCUUUAAGAAAUUAUCUCCUAUGAUGAUAAUAGAAGACAAAAAAAAUUCAUUGCCAUAAAACUAACGAUGCUUAACCAGUCACAUAUUGAUUUACUUGUGAUUUUGGUAAUAUAAACAAUUGAANUUCAGUGAAAAAUAUUUUUUAAUUCUUACUAAAACACAUAUGACAGUUUUGUUUUUGUAAAUAUCUUGUCUACAAAGAAAUCAAUCUAAUAAAAAUCAUACCAGACUAAGUCUAGUUUUGACAGGAAGAAGAGAGAACAAUAGAAAGCAAAAAGACUGAAAAAUGGGAAACAAGCACAUCAACCAUAUGAGAUUGCCCAAAUUCAUAACAAUAUCUUCACUGUUUGCAACAUCAUCACUGUCAAGUAGCCAUUCCACGCUCUUUCGAGAUCUCGUUUUCAUUUUUUUUUCACUAAUAGUGCUAUUAUUAACAUCUCACUGAGUCAUUUUUCAUUUCCUAUACCAAACCCUAAUCGCUUAUUGCAUUCUAUUACUCAUGAAUUUAAUUCUAAUUCAAAAUACCUUGGUCCUAUCACCGAAUAAUCUAAAUAGUUUGNCCUUNCUUCUUAUCAUUCCAACUACCCACCCUUUCACUUUCAUAAGAAGAUUUGUAAUUUAAAACAGAGUACACACAACUUCCAUGUAAAAAAAAACUUAGUUCAUCGUACCUGUAUGUCACUGAAAUAAGGUUGUUAUUGUUGAAGAAACGUUGUUACAGGUAAUGAGCAGGAGUGUAAAGGUUGAAAAGUGAAAAAUGUUUCCAGAGUUAAAAGUGAAGUGAGAAUGAGCAACAUAAAAUGUUUCCAGAGUUAAAAGUGAAGUGAAAAUGAGCAACGUAACGUAGGUUCAGGUUAAAAAAGUUUUUUAAGUCUCUUAAAAAAGUCUUUUUUAAGUCUCUUAAAAAAAUUAUAUAUGUAAAAGUAUUCAAUUAUAUCUUUUAGAAAAUGAAGAGUCACUUUUUUAAGUCUUUUAAAAAAGUAGCAGAUGUAAAAAUACUAAUUUAAGUCUAUUAGAAAAUUAACAAAUUUAAAAUUAUAUUUAUUUAAAUCUGUUAGUCAACAACAAACUUCAAUAACUAACUUUUAUUUAUCAAACUGCCACCGCACAUCUUUUAAGUCUGUUUUCUUGUGAACAGACUUAAAUUCGUAGGCUUAAAAGGUCUAUUUUGCACUAGUGAUUGCUGAAAGGUAACGUUGAUUAUUGAAAGAUGGAAGGGUGAAUUAGCGAAAGUAAUUAAAACAUUAAUUGAAACCGUGUACAUAUUUCUUCCAGGACUUAAUGUGUAUGCUCAAAAGCUUCAUGAAAUAUCUAAAUGAACGUCAGCUAGACCCAAGAUUAAAAAAAAAAAAAAAACACAAACCAAAAUGAAAAAAAAAAAAAAAUUCGUGCUCGACUUAUAUAUGAAAGAUGAAAUGCUUAAAUAAAUGACCAUGCCACCUCUUGCUUAAAUCAAAUGAGCAUGCUGCUUUUCUUCCAGGACGUGGCACCACACCACCAAAUUCAAUGCAAAUUGUAGUGUUUUCCAAUUAAUCACCGAAUGUGACCAGCUCCAAAAAAAAAAAAAUACUUCCGCACCGUUCCAGCCCAAAUUGUGCACCGUGACUUCCCUUCUCCAAUUAAAAAAAUUGCUUUCCUUUCAUCCCAUGAUCAAACACCGUCAAGAUAAGGUCCAAAGCAAGAUAAAAAGAAAACAUUCCAACACCGUUUCUACAAAGGAAAUCUGCAUUUGCAACUAUCUAAAAAUAAGCAAAAUAAAAUAGCAAUUUAUCCUAGCACCUCAACAAAGGAAACACGUUCCCAGACCACUUUAAUCUGUCGAGAAUGUCUAAUAAAAAAGUGUGUGGCAGCCUCCUAGAAAAAAAUAUGACGGCUGGACUCCUUCCCUAGGACCAUGUGUCCUAAUAAAAAUGGAUGGGGUUCACCUUAAAAAAAAAAACCCCUAACUCAUGUGUCCUCUACUAUUUGGACCCAUCAUAAAUUUGUUAACAUUGACCCAAAUGUGCACAAGUUUAAUUACAAUUAUUCUAUACUACUAAGUUACAAUAUAAUUAAAUUUAAAAUGUCUAAAGAGUCUUGACUUAUUUGAUAGCACUCCAAAUGUCCCAAAUUAUAUUUUCAAAAUUUUCCCUAAAAAUAAUAAUGCUAAUAAUUAGCUCAGAAAAUUAAAAUUAACUAAAAUAAGAAUUUCCGAUUAAAUUAAGCAUAAUUAGAGAAAACGGGAAAAUACCGAACAAUUAAGUACAAUACCUGAUUAAAUUCGAUACAAUAAAUUAAGCAAAGUCAAGAAAAUGUUGACUCAUCACUAAUUAAAAGAAUAUCCAUUCUCUUCCGGCUCUUUCUUAGUUAGUGUAUAGUAUGUAACAGGGAAAGGUAUGUCUUUCUUAAGCUCUGUAAAUGUUAGACUGUCCGCAUCAUGAGAACCUUCUGCAUCAAGAUUCCACAUUUCAUAAAUCAAUUUAAUUUAUAGCGAUAGCAAUGCAUUAAUGUUUCUGCCAUAAAGAACAGUUCAAAGAAAGUUGCUAUAAGUGAAAAAACAACACACUAUACAGUUUAAUUUGAAUUGUCGUUCAAAACCUUUUUCGUUUAAUUUAUAGAAUAAUAAUCUUAAAAUGAUUUAAAAUUAAGACAAAUGAAAUCUCACAGACUUACGUCACAAUUGAGAGUGAACCAUGACAAGUUAAAACAUAUAUAGGUGGUCUGAGUAUAUAUAUAUAUAUAUAUAUAUAUAUAUAUAUAUAUAUAUAUAUAUGCGUAUAUGUGUAUAUAUGUAUGUAUAUUAUAAGCAGUGUCAACAUAUAUCAGAAGCCAGAACAAAGGUUAUAAAAUGGUUUUGCUAAUUUAUGCUUAAAACUCCAAGCAAAUAAUAACAAACUAGUACCUUUAUAGUCUCUGAGCUAAUCCAAUUCAGAAUCAUGACUGGCCAUAGAGAACAGGUCGUAGGAGUUGUUAUCAUUAGAGCUGGACAUAAUUAACUUAUACUAAACUAUAAAUUAUCCAUACUCUAUUAUACUAUAAAAACUGAACUACCUUUAGUAAAAACUGAAUUGUACUGUUUUGUAGUUCAAUUUAAGAAAAUUGAACUUUUAUAUUAGUAGUUCAGUUAACUUAGUUAACUGUUUUCAAACUAUAAAAAAAUCCAACUUGGUUAAAACAAAUUACAGCUCCACUAUUAUUUAUGUUUUAUCAAAUAAUUUAUUGAAAACUGAUUUUAAAUAAACAAAUAUCCUAAAUUAAAUUUCUAAAAGAACAAUUUUAAAAAAAUAUUCUAAAAAUUUAAAUAAACUUUUCAAACUGAAAUAUUUUUAAGACAAAAGAAAAAGCACAUUAAAUAUUAUUUACAAAUCGAUAUGAAUUAUUUUCUUCUGAUAAAUUUAACUUAGUUAUUUAUAUUAAUUUAUAUUUGUAUAUCUAUCUUUUCAUAAUUAUAUAUCAUGUUUGUUUAUUUUUAUUUUUAUUUUUACUAAAAAUUAUUAUAUUAUUAAAAAUUAUAAAUGGAUAGAUUUUGACUAAAGUGUUUUUUAUAAAUUUUUUUUAAUAUAAUCUAUGAAAUUAAAUUUUAUUUAAGUUAAGAAUUUAAAUAAACUUUUUAAACUUAUUCAGAAAUAGUUUUAAGAUAAAAAGAAAAGAAAAGACAUAUUUAAUAACUUUUACAAAUUGGUAUGAAUUAUUUUUUUUCUCAUAAAACAUGUAACUUAAUUAUUUGUAUGUUUGCUAUGCCAAGUAGAGUAGAAUUGUAAUUUAUUUUGGUUACUAUUGUACGGUAUACUAUUUGGAACAGUUAACUGAAGUUAACUCCUAAUAGGAAAGUUCAAUUUUUUUAAAUUGAACAGCAUAGUAGUAUAGUUCAGUUUUUUAUAAAAAUAGUUUAGUUUUUAUAGUAUAGAUAUAGUUUAGUACAGUUACACUAAUUAUGCCUAGCCCUAGUUAUCAUUGGAUGCAGCAGAGGCACACCGACGUAAAAAUAGAUCUACAUGUAAGAAGAUUUUCCUUUUCAAUAAUCUUUCGUCAGUUAUAUAGAAAGACUUUAAGGUGGACAAUGAAGGCAGAGGAAUCAAUCAUAAAGAGAUAAAAAGUAUAUGUGAAACAAGGUAAACCAAAUGCUGUGAUAUUUCACCUAUUCAUGGACUCACCUUGCAUCAAUUAUUUCUAGCAAUUAUUUCGUUGGAUGAAGGAAUGAUUUUACAAUUUGAGGCAUUUGGAGAUUAAAUGUAGUGCAACCAUCACCCACUUGUAAUUUAUCUGCCUUGA